GAAGACUGACUGAGGCAUCAGGUAGAUGAGACCACUAGCUUCAGAGAGGUCUCAUUAUUUAAUUAUCUUAUUAUAUUUCUUCUUAUUUCAUUAACUUCUGUAUUAUUGUCGUGAACUCCUUUUUUACUUUGAUGAACUACUGAAAUUAAACGUUUCAGUACUUUUUAAAUCUUUUUGAAAGGAAAUGCAUUUAAAGCUAUACAUUUUCCUCAGAGUGCUUCUUUGGCUAUAUUUUACGGGUUUUGAUGUAAAAUAUCAAACGUUCUCAAUUACAUUCACUUUGAAUAGCUUUCAAUUUUACCUUAGAUUUCUUUUGACACUGUUUUUUAUUUUAACAUGUUAACUUUACUUUUGGGGAAAGAAGCUACCCUUUUAUUCUUUGUAUCUGGAUUUCGUCUAUAUAUGAGCUUGUUAUGAUUUGUACACUUUCAAAUUAAGAUGUUAUUGGGAGAAAAGGAUACAGUUGAUUUUUAUAAAAUUUCCGCACAUUUUUGAAAAUGUGCAUUGUUUUGGAUUGAAACGGUACGUUCAUAUCUUUAUAUUUUAUAUCUCUUGCUGUACAAUCACAAUUGUUAAUUUUAUUAUUUACAUCCUUGCUUUUUUAUGUUUUCAUUCUUUCAAUUCUUAAAACAAGUUGUUGAGGUGCCACCGUGUUUUUGACAAUUAGACCAAGGUAGAUACUGCACUUUUAUAUCUUCUCUGGGUUCCUAAUAAACUGAGAACGGAGCCAGAUGAGUGCCAAGAGCAGGGAUGGCUUUAUUAGGGAGAACUAGUUUUGUGCCUAAGGGCAAACGGAAUUGCCCUUUCCUUCUUCAUUGAAUUGAGGGAACUUGGUCCUGCAGCCUAGGAUGACCGAGUUACAUACUCAGCUGAAAGCUAGACACUUAGGAACAAAAGAGUAGAGUGCCAGAGGUAGAAAUGUGCCAAGUCCCACAAUGAUAAGGCACGGACAUGUUUUAAAAACAGCAAAGUAAAUGAGAACACACUCUUUCUGCUUGAAUGGGGGUGGGGUAUCCGGAUGUCACUUUCUCCACUUUCCACUGGUCAGAUUAUUCUCUCUCACAUAGAAAACUGCACAUGAAGGAGGGGAAGGAGAAACCAGCCAGGGGCGGGAUCAGCUCCCUUACUUCUCUGUAAACACGAGAAACAAGGAGAGAGAGACAGAGCAUGAACGGGGCAGGGGCAGAGAGAGAGGGAGACACAGAACCGGAAGCAGGCUCCAGGCUCCGAGCCGUCAGCCCAGCGCCCGACGCGGGGCUCGAACUCACGGACCGCGAGAUCGUGACCUGAGCUGAAGUCGGACGCUUAACCGACCGAGCCACCCAGGUGCCCCUCCUCUGUCUUAAUUUUAAUCGUGUGUGUGUGUGUGUGUGUGUGUGUGUGAGCGAGAGAGAGAGAGAGAGAGAGAGAGAGAGAGAGAUUUUGUAUUCAGGAAAUAAUAUAUUUGAUUUGACAUAAUUUGAGAGGUUUUUUUUUUCUUUCAAAAGGGAAAUUCAAUAGAUUGUAAGCAUACCUCAUUGUUUACAAAUUGAAGGUUUGUGACAACCUUGAGCUAAGCAAGCCUACUGGCGCCAUUUUCCCAACAGCAUCUGCUCGCUUCAUGUCCCUGGGUCACGUCUUGGUAAUGCUCACAACAUGACAAACUUUUUCAUAGUUAUUACAUUUGUUACAGUGAUAUGGUGAUCUCUGUUGUUUCCACUGUAAUUGUUUGGGAGAACCAUGAGCCGCAUCAACAUAAGAUGGCAAACGUCAUCGAUAAAUGUUGGGCGUGCUCUGACUGUUCCACCAACUGACUGUCCUCCCAUCUCUCUCUCUCUCUGUCCUCAGGCCUCCCUCUUCCCUGACACACAAAAAUCUUGAAAUUAGGCCGAUGAAUCACUGUACAAUGGCCCUAAGCAUUCAAGUGACAGGAGGAAUCAGUUGCUGUAGCAACCUUCAUUGUCUUAUUCUAAGAAAUUGCUCUAGCUACCCAACCUUCAGCAAUUACUACCUUGAUCAGUCAGCAGCUGUCAACAUCAAGGCAAGGCCCCAGGCCAGCAAAAAAGAUUAUGACUCCCCGAAAGCUCCGAUGAUGCUAAGCAAUUUUUUUUUUUUUGGCAAUAAAGUAUUUAUUUCUUUUUUGGAGAAAGAGGGAAGGCGAGCAAGGGAGAGUGGAUGAGGGAGAGAAAGAGAGAAUCUUAAGCAGUCUCUGCAUUUAGUGGAGCCUGACACUGGGGUUGAGCCCACGACCCUGAGAUCAUGUCCUGGGCUAAAAUCAAGAGUCAGAUACUCAACAGACUGAGCCACCCAGGUGCUCCAGCAAUGGAGUAUUUUUAUAUUAAGAUAUGUACAUUGUGUUUUAGACAUGAUGCUACUGCAUACUUAAUAGACGACAGCGUAGUAUAGCAUGAACAUAACCUUUACAUGCACUGGGCAACUAAAACGCUCAUUUGACCACCUUUAUUGUGGCGGUCUGGAACCAAAUCUGAGGUACCUCCAAGAUGUACCUGUAUAUCAGGGGAGAAGCAGUAUCAUAGUUAAGGGUGCGGGUUCUGGGUUCAAAUCCUAUCUCUUAAGGUUACUGGAAAAGUAACCAUGAGAAAACAACUCUUCUGGGAUCUAAAGUUUUUCUUUUUAAAAAUUCAUAACUCACAGAAAUGUAAACAGGUGAAAUGAUUUCAUAUGAUGAAGCGUUUAGAGGAGUCACUGGCACAGCGUAAAUCCUCCAUGAGCUAUUAGGGUUGUUUUACUCUCUGCUCAAAUUUUGUAACAUUUCUUAAACUUUAGCUGUUUUUUUUUUUUUCCAUCUCAGAAUGGUUUGGUUUGAAAGUUCUACCUUUUUUUUAAGGCUCCCUGUUUUCAAUUAAUAUACAUCUGUUUUAUAUUAAGUAUACUGUGAAUUUUCCUGUUGAUUAAAAAAUAAUUAGGGGCAUCUGGGUGGCUCAGUCGGUUGAGCAUCCAGCCUUGGCUCGGGUCAUGAUCUCACGGUUCCUGAAUCUGAGCCCCGCAUCGGGCUGUCUGCUACCAGCCCAGAGCCUGCUUCGGAUCUUCUGUCCCCCACCUCUCUCUCUGUCCCUCCCCUGCUUGCGUGUGCUCUCUCUAUCUCUCUUUCUCAAAAUUCAAUAAACAUUAAACAAAGAAUAAUUCAUCUCAAUUCUUUGAGAUUUAUAUUUCGAGAUGCUUCGAAUACUACUGAAAACAAAACCUAACAGGGAAAGGAGAGAAGAUGAGCGACUUAAGUGAAACGACAAAACAACGAAUUGCCACAACUUCAACCAGAAGCGACGGGGAUCAUCUGCCAAACACCCUGCCUUUGGGCCAACGUGAGAUGAGACCGUGCAGGCCAAGAAGCUACGCACACCUCCUGGGACCACAGGCCACACACGAGACCUCCCAAUUGUUGUUACCACCCAGAAGUUGCCUUCAGGGCACCUUAGACCAGCCACGGUCUAAUCCGUGGAUGGUUUAACUAUGGAACCACCUGGCCAUCGCUGACCUGACUCAUCUGCACAGACACUUUGAAAUCUGCAGACUCCUGUGAGAGGUCAAGGUUACCUCGUGUUCAUUUGCUGCUGAUGCAUCUGCUAGUGAAAUCCUAGGGCUCCAUUUCACUGACUUCCCUUUUGGGAUGAAAGAAAAUCUGGCACGUUGACUUUCUUUUUGACACUUCACUGCAGCAGAACUCUCCCUGGUUGAGAUGUGUCUGUAAGGGAUCAAUUUAGUGCAUUUCUUUGUCUUUGCACCAAGUGGUUUCUUGGUGCCGCUUUCCUAAGUGGAGUUUCUUCUCGCAGACUGUGGCUUGCAGUUCCAGAGCAGAGAAGAUGUUGUUCUCCAUGGAAGUGAAUUGAUGCCCCUCCGGGAGUCUGGAUGCUGUCAAGAUGAAAAAGGAGUGGCCAAGCCAGAGUGAUGCUUCUGUCUUCGCUCCUUGGAAUGAAGAAAGAACCUUGAAAAUGAAUCCAAGAGACAGUGAUGAACAUUUUGAGGAAUCUAGAAACCAUGCUGUACGGAGGCGCUGCCCUUCUCGGAAUGUUAAAAGCUAAGCCGGCUCUGUAGGAAGCAGCUCCAGUGUUUAGCCAAGUCUGGUGGAGUCAUUUGCCCUGCCUCCGUGCAGUGAGCUUGAGUCGACACUUUUCCACUCUGCGGAUGGGAAGCUUGGCAGUAAACUGGCAGACUAGACUGAUGGCACCGAGCAGGGCUUUGGAGGCUGACGUUCACACCACAGCAUCUUCAGGACCCACAGCCUUUUCAUGCAGAUACGCAGGAAUAAGACUCCUUCCCCGUGCCUUACCCGGCAGAUUCUACAGGAAAGAGAAAAGCAGAAGGAAAGGAACACUGGUGUUGAAUUUACUAAGAAAAGCAAGUUCCAGUGGAA